rnacentral:rRNA from 1 species
CCUACGGGCGGCAGCAGUGAGGAAUAUUGGUCAAUGGACGAGAGUCUGAACCAGCCAAGUAGCGUGAAGGAUGACUGCCCUAUGGGUUGUAAACUUCUUUUAUAUGGGAAUAAAAUGUUCCACGUGUGGGAUUUUGUAUGUACCAUAUGAAUAAGGAUCGGCUAACUCCGUGCCAGCAGCCGCGGUAAUACGGAGGAUCCGAGCGUUAUCCGGAUUUAUUGGGUUUAAAGGGAGCGUAGGUGGAUUGUUAAGUCAGUUGUGAAAGUUUGCGGCUCAACCGUAAAAUUGCAGUUGAAACUGGCAGUCUUGAGUACAGUAGAGGUGGGCGGGAUUCGUGGUGUAGCGGUGAAAUGCUUAGAUAUCACGAAGAACUCCGAUUGCGAAGGCAGUUCACUGGACUGCAACUGACACUGAGGCUCGAAAAUGUGGGUAUCAAACAGGAUUAGAUACCCCUGUAGUC